UUCUGGCCUGCCCAAGGAAGGUCUUGUGAUUGCAUACCGGCUGCUUGAGUUAUCAUCAACCUGGACCCUGAAGUUUCCUCCUAUCGGGUUGGGAAAAUAUCGUCGUAUAAUGCUGAAGCAAAUAGAGUUUUACUGAUGCCAGUAGCUGAAUUUCCAGUCAUUUGUACUGAGGAUGAGUCUUCAAAGCAACCAGAUAGCUCUAUUUAUAAUGAAGACGGAUCGCCGGAGGUUGCCAAGGAGUACAGGCCCAGACACUCUGCAUUUGAUUGAUGGACAAGCGCAACGACUACAGUUGCUUGGAGUAGCUUGCAUGAUGACCGCAUCAUCGUGUUGAAAAUGGAGUCGAGGUGGGGAG